rnacentral:tRNA from 1 species
GCCUCGAUGGUGUAGAUGGUUAACACACUUGGCUACUAACCAAAAGGUUGGUGAUUUGGGUCCACCCAGAGGCA